rnacentral:misc_RNA from 1 species
GAUCAGCUUCUUGUUCUCGUCUCAUUUAAACACGCGCGUCUUGUCAGGCUUUAAAUCUAUUUGAGACUAAUUGAACAUGGAACAAAAAUUCAGAAACCUAUAUAAGCUUAUAUGGCUCCAUAAGCCAUCUAUGCGUCACAUCCAUAUGUUGCAAUAAAUGAAAUCUAUAACGCACUUGGUAAUUUAAUCUCAAUAAAAAUAAAAUGAAAAUGAGUCCUAAUCUUGCAUCAUAGCCUCAAAAUUGGCUUGUAUUGUAUAUCAAAUGCACAUCCCAAGAAGGGCUGUACAAUUCAAAAUUUUCUAUAACAACUAGCGAGUUUAACAGCAGAAUGCCGCUUUUGCCUGAAUGAGGGUGAAAAGAAUGAAGGUAACAUUUAAAACUACAAAAAUUGAAGAGGG